rnacentral:rRNA from 1 species
UACGAGAGGCCCAAACGUUAUUCGGAUUUACUGGGCUUAAAGAGUUCGUAGGCGGUUCGGUAAGUGAGGUGUGAAAGCCCUCGGCUCAACCGAGGAAUUGCGCUUCAAACUGCCGGGCUCGAGGGAGAUAGAGGUGAGCGGAACUGAUGGUGGAGCGGUGAAAUGCGUUGAUAUCAGAAGGAACGCCGGUGGCGAAAGCGGCGUACUGGACCUCUUCUGACGCUGAGGCGCGAAAGCUAGGGGAGCAAACGGG